rnacentral:rRNA from 1 species
UUUUGAAAAGUCUUAAAGCAUUAAACGGAUGCCUUAACAUCAAAACUGUAUGAUAUUCUUUUACCAUCUGUUUAAUAAAAAAUUAACAGUAAAAAGAAAAAAACUGUCAUACUAAACGGAAAACCGAACUUUAUCGAUUAAGUUUACAAUAAAAAUAAUCUUUAAAGAAAAUUUAUUGUAUAAAACUUAGUGAAUUGAAUCAUCUUAGUAGCUAAGAAAAAAAUCAACCGAGAUGCCGUUAUUAGUGGCGAACGAAUGCGGUAAAAGACUAAACUUUUUUAAAGGCUUUUGUUUAAUGUAUAGUUAUUAUAACCUUAGCAGCCAAAGAAGGAUGCCUACCUAAAAUAGUAGAAAGCCCUGUGGACAAAUCCAUUUUAAAAAGUUAAUUAGUAAAAUUGUACAAGUCAUGUACUGUUUGAAUAUUGGGGGCCCACCCUCAAAGUCUUAAAGUUUUGAUGCUUGAUAGUGAAAUAGUACCGUGAGGGAAAGGUGAAAAAAACUCGUGAGUUUGAAAAAAUACUGAAAUUUAAUGCUGACAAACAGUUGAAGCUUUUUAAUAGUGACAGCGUACCUUUUGUAUAAUGGACCAACAAGUUUAUUCUAGUGGCGAGCUUAAAUAACUAUAAGUAUGUAGGCGAAAAGAAAUUAAGUUUAAAAAAACUUUUAAGUCUCUAGAAUAAGACCCGAAACUAGGUGAUCUAACCAUGAACAGGUUGAAUUUUAAGUGGAAACACUUUUUGGAGGACCGAACUCGUGUAUGUGGAAAAAUACUGAGAUGAUUUGUGGUUAGGGGUGAAAGGCCAAUCAAACCUAGAGAUAGCUGGUUUUCUGCGAAAUCUAUUUAGGUAGAGCGUUUAAAGAUUUACUUUUUUAUGGGGUAGAGCUCUCGUUAAAGAAUGGGGAUGAUCAAUCUUACUGACUUUACUGAAACUUCGAAUACAAAAAAAAGGUUUUAAACAGACAGACUAUGGAUGCUAAGAUCCAUAAGUCAAAAGGGAAACAGCCCAGACUAUUUGUUAAGGCCCUUAAAAGUAAUUAAGUGCGAAAAUUAUAAAAGAAUAUGAACAACCGAGAGGUAGGCUUAGAAGCAGCCAUCCUUUAAAGAAAGCGUAACAGCUCAUUGGUCUAGUUUUUUUAUAUUUAAAAUGUAUAGGGACUUAAAUUAUUUGCCGAAACUAUAGAUUUUUUUAAUAUUUAAUUAAAAAAAUGGUAGCAGAACGUUCUGUAUAUUAAAAAAGAUUUAUGGUAACAUAAAUUGGAGAGAUCAGAAGUGAUAAUGUUGGUAUGAGUAGCGAUAAACAAUGUGCGAAACAUUGUCGCCUGAAAUUCAAGGUUUCCAGAAAAAGGCUAAUCCUUUCUGGUAAAAAUUAAUCGGUCUCUAAGAAAAUUAACGAAAGUUAUUUGUAUUGAUGAGUUAAAGAUAACAACUUCUUUUUUUAUUUUAAGUGACAGAAUAUAAAUAUAAUUUUUAUUUAACGGUUUUAAAAUAAAAGUUGUUUAAUAUUUUCAAGAAAUAGCUUAAUAAAUAUUUUUUUUAAAAAACCGUACCUUAAACCGACACAGGUGAAUAAAUUUAGUAAAUUAAGGCGCUUGAGAGAAUUGUAUUGAAGGAACUCGGCAAAAUGAUUCUGUAACUUUGGGAUAAAGAAUGACUUUAUAAGGGCAACCUUGUACUAGUUGGCACAAAAUCGGGGACAGCGACUGUUUAAUAAAAACACAGGUCUCUGCUAAUUCGUAAGAAGAUGUAUUGAGGCUGACGCCUGCCCAGUGCUGAAAGAAUAAAGGAAGAAGUUUUAGCUUCAACCUUAACCUCCAGUAAACGGCGGCCGUAACUCUGACGGUCCUAAGGUAGCGAAAUUCCUUGGCAUUUAAUUGGUGUCCUGCACGAAUGGCGUAACGACUGUCCCACUGUCUCCAAUACACACUCAGUGAAAUUGAAUUUUCCGUGAAGAUGCGGAAUACUUGCGGCUAGACGGAAAGACCCUGUGCACCUUUACUAUAAUUAUGCAUUGUUAUGAAAAUUUUUAUUGCUUAGUAUAAGUGGGAAGUUUUUAAAGUCCUUUGCCUCGGCAAACUGUUUUGACGUUCGUGAAAUACCACUCUUAAAUUUUUUCAGAUACUAACUUUAUUAUAAAAAGAAAAGUGCAUAAUGGGUAGUUUGACUGGGGCGGUCGCCUCCUAAAGAGUAACGGAGGUGUGCUAAAGGUAAGUUGAAGUUGUUUGACAACUUUAAAGCGUAAUAGUAUUAAUACUUGCUUGACUGUAAGAUUGACAAAUCGAACAGGGACGAAAGUCGGUUAUAGUGAUCCGAUGAUUCUGAGUGGAAAAGGUCAUCGCUCAACGGAUAAAAGGUACGCCAGGGAUAACAGGCUAAUCACUCUCUAGAGACCUUAUCGACGGGGUGGUUUGGCACCUCGAUGUUGGAUUAUCGCAUCCUGGAGCUGUAAGCGGUUCCAAGGGUUUGUCUGUUCGCCAAGGAAAGCGGUACAUGAUCUGAGUUUAGAACGUCGUGAGACAGUUCGGUCCCUAUCUACCGUAAGUGAAAAAAAUUGCAAGGAUUAGACCUUAGUACGAGAGGACCGGGAAAAACGAAUCUCUGGUGAAUCGAUUGUUAAACCAUUAGCAUCGUCGAGUAGCUAAAUUCGUACUAAAUAAUCGCUGAAAGCAUCUAAGCGAGAAAUUAACCUUAAAACAAGUUUUUUAAACUGUAAAAGAAAAUUACAUUGAUAGGCUUGAUGUGUAAGAAUUGAAAAAUUUUGAGCUAACAAGUACUAACAUCUUAACUUUUUAAACAUUUU